rnacentral:rRNA from 1 species
GACGAACGCUGGCGGCGUGCUUAACACAUGCAAGUCGAACGGUGAAGGGACCAGCUUGCUGGUUCUGGAUGGGUGGCGAACGGGUGAGUAACACGUGAGUAACCUGCCCCCUUCUUCUGGAUAACCGCAUGAAAGUGUGGCUAAUACGGGAUAUUCUGGGUCUGUCGCAUGGCGGGCCCGGGAAAGAUAUUGCUUCGGUGGGGGAUGGGCUCGCGGCCUAUCAGCUUGUUGGUGGGGUGAUGGCCUACCAAGGCGGUGACGGGUAGCCGGCCUGAGAGGGUGGACGGUCACACUGGGACUGAGACACGGCCCAGACUCCUACGGGAGGCAGCAGUGGGGAAUAUUGCACAAUGGGCGCAAGCCUGAUGCAGCGACGCCGCGUGAGGGAUGGAGGCCUUCGGGUUGUAAACCUCUUUCGCCAGUGAAGCAGGCCUGCUCCUUGUGGGUGGGUUGACGGUAGCUGGAUAAGAAGCGCCGGCUAACUACGUG